rnacentral:ncRNA from 1 species
AAUCCCGGUGGGCAAACCCGGCAAAAGCCGGGGACGCAAAGCCACAGGUCUAAAGUUACCCAUUGAGGUAACCAUGACGGCUGGGUUGCAAGG